AAGCUUGCUUUGAUGGAUGGCGACCGGCGCACGGGUGAGUAACACGUAUCCAACCUGCCGAUGACUCGGGGAUAGCCUUUCGAAAGAAAGAUUAAUACCCGAUGGCAUAGUUCUUCCGCAUGGUAGAACUAUUAAAGAAUUUCGGUCAUCGAUGGGGAUGCGUUCCAUUAGGUUGUUGGCGGGGUAACGGCCCACCAAGCCUUCGAUGGAUAGGGGUUCUGAGAGGAAGGUCCCCCACAUUGGAACUGAGACACGGUCCAAACUCCUACGGGAGGCAGCAGUGAGGAAUAUUGGUCAAUGGACGAGAGUCUGAACCAGCCAAGUAGCGUGAAGGAUGACUGCCCUAUGGGUUGUAAACUUCUUUUAUACGGGAAUAAAGUGAGGCACGCGUGCCUUUUUGUAUGUACCGUAUGAAUAAGGAUCGGCUAACUCCGUGCCAGCAGCCGCGGUAAUACGGAGGAUCCGAGCGUUAUCCGGAUUUAUUGGGUUUAAAGGGAGCGUAGGCGGACGCUUAAGUCAGUUGUGAAAGUUUGCGGCUCAACCGUAAAAUUGCAGUUGAUACUGGGUGUCUUGAGUACAGUAGAGGCAGGCGGAAUUCGUGGUGUAGCGGUGAAAUGCUUAGAUAUCACGAAGAACUCCGAUUGCGAAGGCAGCCUGCUGGACUGUAACUGACGCUGAUGCUCG
rnacentral:rRNA from 1 species